rnacentral:tRNA from 1 species
AAAAUAUUAGUUAAAUAAAUAAUAUAAGAUUGUCAAGCUUAAGUAACUUUUAAUAGUAUAUUUUU